CCUACGGGUGGCAGCAGUGAGGAAUAUUGGUCAAUGGGCUUACGCCUGAACCAGCCAAGUCGCGUGAGGGAAGACUGCCCUAUGGGUUGUAAACCUCUUUUGUCAGGGAGCAACGCCGGCUACGUGUAGCCGGACUGAGAGUACCUGAAGAAAAAGCAUCGGCUACCUCCGUGCCAGCAGCCGCGUUAAUACGGAGGAUGCGAGCGUUAUCCGGAUUUAUUGGGUUUAAAGGGUGCGUAGGCGGAAUGCCAAGUCAGCGGUAAAAUCGCGGGGCUCAACCUCGCUCCGCAGUUGAAACUGGCGGUCUUGAGUGGGCGAGAGGUAUGCGGAAUGCGUGGUGUAGCGGUGAAAUGCAUAGAUAUCACGAAGAACUCCGAUUGCGAAGGCAGCAUACCGGCGCCCAACUGACGCUGAAGCACGAAAGCGUGGGUAUCGAACAGGAUUAGAUACCCUUGUAGUC
rnacentral:rRNA from 1 species